rnacentral:rRNA from 1 species
GAUGAACGCUGGCGGCGUGCCUAAUACAUGCAAGUCGAGCGAACAGACGAGGAGCUUGCUCCUCUGACGUUAUCGGCGGACGGGUGAGUAACAUGUGGACAACCUACCUAUAAGACUGGGAUAACUUCGGGAAACCGGAGCUAAUACCGGAUAAUAUAUUGAACCGCAUGGGUCAAUAGUUAAAGACGAUUGUUGUGUCGCUGAUAGAUCGGUCAGCGCCGCAUUAGUUAGUUGGUAGGGAAAAAGCUUACCAAGGCCACGAUGCAUAGCUGGCCUGAGAGGAUGAUCAGACAGACUGGGACGGAGACACGGCCCAGACUCCUACGGGAGGCAGCAGUGGGGAAUAUUGGACAAUGGGCGAAAGCAUGAUCCAGAAAGGACGCGUGAGUGAUGAAGGCCUUAGGGUUGUAAAGCUCGUUUAACCGGGAUGAUAAUGACAGUACCGGGAGAAUAAGCGCCGGCUAACUCCGUG